UACGUAGGGUGCGAGCGUGUCCGGAAUUAUUGGGCGUAAAGAGCUUGUAGGCGGUUUGUCGCGUCUGCUGUGAAAUCUCAAGGCUCAACCUUGAGCUUGCAGUGGGUACGGGCAGACUAGAGUGUGGUAGGGGAGACUGGAAUUCCUGGUGUAGCGGUGAAAUGCGCAGAUAUCAGGAGGAACACCGAUGGCGAAGGCAGGUCUCUGG
rnacentral:rRNA from 1 species